rnacentral:tRNA from 3 species
UCCGGGAUCGUCUAACGGUAGGACGGCGGACUCUGAAUCCGCUAAUCUUGGUUCGAAUCCAAGUCCCGGAGCCA